GUGGCGGUCACGCCGGUGUGGGCAGCCGCCGCCACUCGCCCGCCGACUAGCCAGCUAACACGGCAAUAAAUUAAAACCAGUUACUAUUAACCUUGUACGUUUAAAGUGUUAACAAUUAUAAUCGUAAAUACGUCAAGGAAGUCUCAUUUUCAUAUCCUGGAACACCUUCGCCUGACAAGAUUCCCCAACAUUUGGGCCUUCGCGCCGGAUAUUGUGGACUUUCAUUUGGACGAAUCGUGACAUAUUGUAUUUUGGAUCUUCAAUUUAGGUUUGUGGAUUUAGAACCUCCCAAGAUCCCGCUGAUUCAAGCGCAAAAUCUCAGGGAAAAUCAGGGAAGAAUCAUUAUUUUACGUUCAUUUAAAACUACCUACUUAAAUACCUACAUCAGAAACCAGUGACACUAGUGAAAGUUAUUCAAUGACAGGCGUUACUGUGCUAGCACAACAUUAGUCACAGGCGCAGUCAAAUCAACAAUCAACGUUAAUAUUGCCGAGAAAAUACGAAGCAGCGCAGUGAUAAUCAUUAUAAUACAUAAUUAUCAAUAUUUGUACUAAGAAGGUUAAAGAAGAAGUUAAUAUUAUAAAAAGAAAGAUCAAGAAUCGAGAACAGUCUGGAGAGGUGUAACAUUUUCAACGCGCAAGCGUGGAUCUACACACCUAUCCCGGCGUACCGUAUCAGCCGGCGUCCACGUGAUCGCUGCAACUGAGGCGGCUUCCAGUCAGCUGUUCUUGCGGAUCGCUUGCUACCUAUCCACCUGCUAGUUCUGCACUGCACGCUUACAUUUAAGACUUGAUCGCAAAAAGGAAUACCUGUACUGCGAAAUCUUCGAGAACAAAACUUCACGUCAGUUGGCAAGACACACGAGUUGGUCAGCAGGUUUUCUUUAGCACAAAGCGUGAACGAUGAAUCACCGCCUUCGGUAUCUGGUAAUGCUUCAGUUAAAAUCUGGGUGCCAUUAUUCAAAAACGGAUUAUCGGAAAAUAUAUUUGCAUAUAUAUAUAUAUAUUUUGUUCCUUUUUGAAAGCCACUUAAACUCAGAGAUUCUGGCCACUAUUCCUAAAACUGGGAAAUUGCAAAAAAAAGAUGUCAAUUUUCCGACGAUAAUUGGGGAUAGGAAUCCUGGUCAUAAACAGAGGACUCAACUUCUUAUUAACAGGUACUAAUAAUAAGAUCGAAGUAAUAAAAUUUAUAAAUGACGGAUGCUCUUAUCGGAUCUUCGUUAUCAAAAUACGGAGAGUAUAAUAAAAUUCAUAUAUCCGAGCCUGGAUAAAAACGAGUGCUAAACAAAGUCAACGGAUAAAGAAGAUCUCAAGUGCAUCGAAGUUUCUAUCUCCUGGUGAAACUGGCAUGUCCCUUUACUUGUCAAACAAGGGAAUAGGGGCGAGGAGGACAUUGGAGAACCAAGCGAACAUUAGCUCAACCCACGCGUCUUCAAACGAAACAACACUAAUCCAAGACACGAAAGUCAGUACCUCGUCGUUCCUAAAUUAAGUACACGUAGAUAGACUAACAAAUAACUAAUAAAUUAGUUCUUAAGUGGAUUAACAACGGUAUAGGCAUCCCUUUCAAAUAACUCUUUACUCAAACAUAUGUACCCACUUCAUCACCGCCGAACUCAGAUAAACGUAAUUUGGCAUUAGCUAUGAACAAUCUUUUAAAAUUAGUGGCCAUAUCAGAUUUUUUUUAAUGGGUGAAAAUGGAAUGGUAACCCCGCCUGCGCUAACGGGAUACGCUGGCGGAGCACCAGUGAAGGGUGAUUGGUGAGAAUGAAAACAGGCCAGUUAGCCCAUCAUGAUGAAUUCAUCAGGAAUUAACCAUGAUAGUUUCCAGGGGGAACUGCGAGGAGGUCGACCUGGUUGGGUAUAUUGCAAGCAAUGGGAUUCUCAGUCCCCAUUACUAACAAUCCCUUCCCCCCCCCCCCCGGCCAUAUCAGUUUGCAAGUUCAGAUAGCUAGUUCAUUUCUAAAAUAUUCUUAGCUCCAAGACUUAAUAAUGAAAAUAGAUUUAUUGUAAACCUCAAAUCCCUAAAUAGUUACGUAGUCGAGUCACGUUGUAAAAUGGAAGACUACAGAACUGCUUCCGAAUUAAAAUUAAAGAUUGUAUCCGUAUAGAAAGACAGUUAUCUCGCUACGAUAGAAUUUAAGUAAGCAUAUUUAUUAAUACCAGUAAAUAUCGACUUCCGUAUAUAUUUACGCUUUCAAUAUUGAAGACUUAAUUUCACAGUUAAUCACUUAUAAAUUUACCGCCACACAUACAGCUUACGCUGGAGCGCAGCGAGAAUCUCGGAGCGACGUUCCUGAAACGAAAUACUCCCACUCCCCCCUUUGAUGCUAUAAAACUGAUCUUGACUCCACUAUCCGACAACACUAGGAUACAAUAUAAUGUAAGUUAUCAACUCUGGUGGUAAUUCUAUCAGGUCUAUCAUGUAGAUUUCUCCCAGGAUUCAAUUAUAAAUAACAUUUUUGA